GAAAUGCGAUAAGUAAUGUGAAUUGCAGAAUCCAGUGAAUCAUCGAAUCUUUGAACGCACCUUGCGCUCCUUGGUAUUCCGAGGAGCAUGCCUGUUUGAGUGUCAUGGUAUUCUCAAGUCCCGCCCCUCUCGCCUUCGCGUUCAUUCACCCUUGAGCGUGUCAGGGUGGGAGGUUGGUCCAAGGGAUUUGGACUUGGAGACAUGCUGGAAUUUCCGCAAUUUCGGCUUCUCUAAAAUGCAGUAGUGUGAACUUGCGGGUUGCACGUGACUCAGUGUGAUAAUUAUCUGUGCUGUGUUGCGGGGGCGACCUGUCGCAUCUGUGAACAACAGAGUUUGCUUUGCGAGGGGUUCAUUGCUUUCAAACAGUCUGUUUGGUCAGACAAACCUGUUAUAUUUGUGAUCUGACCUCAAAUCAGGUAGGACUACCCGCUGAACUUAA
rnacentral:rRNA from 1 species